GAAGAAGAGGAGCUCCCUGAACCCGUGUGUGUAGAGUGUGGCCAGUCUGUGCACGCUGGGACGGAAACGGGAAAACGGGCGGCUGCUGCGAUAUCCUGUAUCCGACAAAUUAUUAUUCUACUGCCACUUUUUUCCAAAAACGGCACCCCUGCCCCUGUUGGCCAAGCGAGGCAGCGACAGCAACAGUAAUCGCAAGACAAACGCGCGCUCAGUGCGACACGGAACCUUGAUAACAGGUGGUGCUCCGGUUUCCGGUGCGUGAGAAGUGAGCUUGCCACGCCGUGAUCGCCGUUUCGCCAGCCCGAACGCAAUACCAUGCAAGCCAUCAAAUGUGUCGUCGUCGGUGACGGUGCGGUCGGUAAGACGUGUCUGCUGAUCAGCUACACCACGAACGCGUUCCCGGGCGAAUACAUACCGACCGUGUUCGACAACUACUCGGCAAACGUGAUGGUCGACAGCAAACCGAUCAAUCUCGGGCUGUGGGACACGGCCGGCCAGGAGGAUUACGAUCGGCUACGGCCCCUGUCCUACCCGCAGACGGACGUCUUUCUCAUCUGCUUCUCGCUCGUCAAUCCGGCCUCGUUCGAGAACGUGCGGGCGAAGUGGUAUCCGGAGGUGCGCCACCACUGCCCCAACAUACCAAUCAUAUUGGUCGGCACCAAGCUCGAUCUACGGGACGACAAGGGCACGGUGGACAAGCUGCGCGACAAGAAGCUGUCGCCAAUCACCUACCCGCAGGGGUUGGCCAUGGCGAAGGAGAUCGGAGCGGUCAAGUACCUCGAGUGCUCAGCCCUCACGCAGAAGGGCCUCAAGACGGUGUUCGAUGAGGCGAUCCGGGCGGUGCUGUGUCCGAUGAUACCACCCAAGAAAAAACCCAAGUGUAACAUCCUCUAAAGAUCGUCCUUCUUCCUUUCGUUUAAGCCGCGCGUGUAGCCACCAAACCUACACCACAACCUCUCUCUCUCGCUCACUCUCUGACUCUCUCUCUCUCUGAACCUUACUGCCGCCUGCCUGUCUGCAACUCUCCCUCCCUUGAAAACUUCUCCCCACGAAAGUGACCGAUUUGGAGUGACCCUUUCCUACCGGUGUGCACAAACGACGACGACAUAACGCGCCCAAAAAGCGCGCGGAUUGCUCCUUCUGCUCGCGCGCAACCAACCAGAGUGGAGCAGAAGGACAAGGGCGCGAGAAACGAUCGGUCGAAAGGGACACGAAACGACACUCCAGGAAAUGACGACGCAAAACGCAUAUUAAAAAAUUUGGCAAAAUUCUCCACGCAUCGUUAUCAAUCAUCAACGCCGUGACCAUCACAUUUCCAUGACGUUUUGUUUUCACCCUUUUGGGAUCCACAAUCGGCGCCGGAUGGAUGUGAACCGAUCGGGGAAUGGUUGGGCUUGCUGUCCUUUUUUUUCCAGACCCACAGGCGCAUGCUCCUAUGGGUUGUUUUUUCAAACAUAAGUCUCGUUAAUGAACGAGCGACCAAUCCGCACGGUCACCGGAUUUAACGGAUCGGAAUUGUCCGGUGCCUUACCACCGUCGUUUCUUGUUUUGAUGGUACGGAUUGCGCAAUGAGUGUGUGUGUGUGGGUGUGUGCUUGUGUUUGUGUUUGUGUAGAUAUUAGAAUUGAAAUAUCUUCCGAAUUCCUUUGGAACAUCAUCAUCUUCAACGUGAACAGACAAACAGCUACAGAGAGAAAGGCGCUCUAGUUUUAACCCGACACUAUCGACGAGUGUGCGUUUAUCAUCUCUCACGCACAGUCGGACCCAGCAACACGCGAUUGAUUCAUUCACAAAGAUUUGCGUUCAUCAAAAUCAACCUAAAGAUUGGCAAACCUCCACCAAAAUUGGCCCAAAAUGUUGCCAUGUUGAAGAUGAUGAUGACCACCGGGAAAGGAUGAUGGCUACGUCACGGCGAUCGGAAACAUUUGUAUCGAUCACACUGCAUUUCAGCUCCUCAAAGAAUUGGCGUAGACUUAAGCGAAGAAUUGUCCCACCACAUCUACACAUCAUGCACGCACAUACACAUUAGCGAACCGGUAACCAUGUUUCGUUGCGCAAUGUCCCAAAGUUUCAUUCAAUAUUCUUUUACAUCUCCGUUCAAACUAGGUGAAAGUUAGGCAUAUCAUUUUUGUCAUGAAAUGUCCCUGUCGUUUCUCAAGGGUAUGAAAUGCAAUUUGGAAUCACAAUGUCAGUAAUGAGCCCCCCGACAAAGGAAGUCAUGAGGGAACUGUUUUUUUUUUCUUACUCGUUAAUACAUCUUAAGUUAUUGGAGAUUUGAAGGAACUAUCAUCCGGCGCCGAGCGCUUUUUUAUUCAUUACUAUUCUUCUAUGCUUUUCUUUCUUUAUAUUUCUAAUAUUGUCAAAUCUAUGCCGGCAAUUGGUUGCACAAAAAUUCCAAAACAUACGGAGUCGUUGGGAGAAGUUGGGAGUCGAGGAGAGCCUUGCAGAAUUCUUCUCAAAGAAGAUAAAAGGUCGCACACGGGGAGGACGACACAGAGGGAGGGUAGGUUUCUUCCGCUAUAUAAGGCUGCGAUUAACAGGGAGAAGAAACGGGAGCGGGAUCGAGGGGGAUCACAUAAAAACAAAAAACCAGGAGACCGAUUGGCGGGAGUAGAGAAAAAAAGGUAAUAGUUCUUAGUGUCAAGGCCCGGCUCUUUGCAACAAACGGAAUGAAAGCAAGCGCGAAAUGAGGAGAAUAUACAAAACAAACCCAAAAUCAAACAAACUAUGUAAGAUAGGUGUGUAGCGAGGCAGAAGUACACGAAAUAUCGUCAGUCAACUCGAACUCGAACCGCUCGAACUCGAUACGUCGAUAAUGGGAGAAACGCGGACACGUGGAACAACGGGACCACGGUGCAGGGUGCAGAAGUGCUUGGCCAAUCGUGCUGCCUGUGUGUGUGUGUGGCUGGGAAAGGAGGUAGCAGGGCUGUGUGCCAUUUAUUGCGAAUAUGAACCACUCGCGCUUUGCUUUUUUUGCGGUAAAAGUGCCACCAAUUUGUGGUCGUUUUUUUUCUAAUUUACACACACGAAACGAUAGCUAUUGCUUCGCUGUGCGCGCGCUCGGCACCUAUCCCUGCGUUAGUUAUCAUGCUGCAAUCACACUGAUUUGUUGUGCCUCGUCCCGCGACAAACUUACGCACGCGGUUCCGUUCCGUUGUUCCAUACGUUUACGUUUUCCGGCAUCACCCCUCACCUGAGCAUAAACAAACGCUGGUUUAGAAUCGAUAAACUACAUUCAGUUGGCUUCCGUUUGAGCAAUAAGAGAGAACGCGUAGGGGAGAGUGUUACAAACAGAUCGUCCCCCGUUCGUAAUAACUAUUAUUCAUCUGUUUUUUUUGUCGCUGUGUAAAAGUGUAUAGAUGUUUUGUUGUCUCUGAGAAAAUGCGCUUUUUCUGUAAAUGUGUGCAUUUCGUUACGUUCCGGCUAAGAAAGCACGGCCUCUGGCGGGGAGGCCCUUUCCGUUAGCUUUGCGCGGCUACGCGUGGAAGCGUUGCGAUGACCGUUUGUGCACGAGCGGAACGCAACGGAAAACACAGAGAAUCGCUCUAACUCGUAAAAAAGGCGAAAAAAUCCGUAACCAAAUAGAUGUAACAGUGAGAGAGAAAGAAAUAUAGGAAUCGAAAACCUAAAUAAAUGAUCGUAUCUUUUCGGUAGGGAUGUUUGCAAUGUGCAUUAUAGCUAACACACAUCAUCCUUAUCGAGGAAAGGUAUGUGGUGGAACUUUAAAAAAAAUAGAAACUUUAUAACAAAGUGUAAUGCAUAUUAAUAUUAGGUAGGCCUGCGAGACAUGCGUGCGCUUUUCCUGCGUUUUUGUUUUCAAAAAACUAACCGAUGGGAAAGAGAAAGAGAGAAACCCGAGAAACAAUAACUUGAUUCCGAUGCGCGCGCCCUAAACCUUUCUCCAGAAGAACAAGAAGGAUACACGAGAAUAUCAGAGACGACCAGCGGCGACUCCCCUCAAAAAGAGAUACACAUCAAACGCACAUCGGUGGCAACGGCCCUAGUAGUGACCCCAAAAGCGCCCACACACCCACAAGCAAAGGUGGCGCAAGGAGGUAUUCCAAACGUCACACACGCGACACUGGCUGCCACACACAAUCAAACAAGAGUCACGUCGGAGUGCGUCCUGGUGAAUGCGCGGUGUGCUUUCGAAAUUGUAUUUUAAAUAGUGACCCCAAAUGCUGGUAGGGAGUAGAGACUAUAGCAAAACGACAAACACGAUGACGGUGAUGACAGAGAGAAGCAGAACGAAAAUUGGCAAUGUUGAAUCAUUAUAUAGCCCAUCUGUUCAUCUGUUCCUGUUUCCCUCCAAAAACAUAUAUAUAUGGGCAGACAUUCUAUCGGGGAAAAGGAAGGACACUAAGAAAGUGCGUCGUUGGACCUUCUUUAAUCGUGAAACAAAAAAACCCGGAAGCUUUUGAUCAGAAAAGGGAUCCGUUAGACGAUGAAGUGCGAGAGAGACAGGGCGCGAGAAUGCAACUAGAGAUGAAAGAAUAUGAUAUGAUGAUGAUUGAUAUAACACUUUUUAAUAAGUAAUGGAUUAUUAUGAUUACGAUUAUUAUUAUUAUUAUUGAGUAAUUAAUAAAACAGAGGUAAAAUAC